rnacentral:lncRNA from 1 species
GGUUACACAGAUGGAACGUGUUAACACCCAAAGUGUCCUAGGUACUCCUAAGGAGCCCUCUUUUGUGUUCAUAUGUAUUUUUGUACAAAAUAAUGUUUGCAAUAAAUAGAGUGGAGGGAUGAGAAAAGAAUCCAUUAAUUAUAUUUUUGUGUUUGACAAGACCUUCAGACUUGUGCCUACGUACCAACAUAAAAUGAGGGAUCAAAACC